rnacentral:rRNA from 1 species
UGCGCAGGCGGUUCGUUAAGACAGAUGUGAAAUCCCCGGGCUUAACCUGGGAACUGCAUUUGUGACUGGCGGGCUGGAGUAUGGCAGAGGGGGGUAGAAUUCCACGUGUAGCAGUGAAAUGCGUAGAGAUGUGGAGGAAUACCGAUGGCGAAGGCAGCCCCCUGGGCCAAUACUGACGCUCAUGCACGAAAGCGUGGGGAGCAAACAGGAUUAGAUACCCUGGUAGUCCACGCCCUAAACGAUGUCAACUGGUUGUCGGGCCUUCAUUGGCUUGGUAACGUAGCUAACGCGUGAAGUUGACCGCCUGGGGAGUACGGUCGCAAGAUUAAA